UUGUCCGGAAUUACUGGGACGUAAAGGGUGCGUAGGCGGCAAUUUAAGUUGGAUGUGAAAUACCCGGGCUUAACCUGGGGGGUGCAUUCAAAACUGGAUAGCUAGAGUACAGGAGAGGGAAGCGGAAUUCCUAGUGUAGCGGUGAAAUGCGUAGAUAUUAGGAGGAACACCGGUGGCGAAGGCGGCUUUCUGGACUGAAACUGACGCUGAGGCACGAAAGCGUGGGGAGCAAACAGGAUUAGAUACCCUGGUAGUCCACGCUGUAAACGAUGAAUACUAGGUGUAGGGGGUAUAGACUCCCUCUGUGCCGGAGCAAACGCAAUAAGUAUUCCGCCUGGGGAGUACAGCCGCAAGGUUGAAACUCAAAGGAAUUGACGGGGGCCCGCUCAAGC
rnacentral:rRNA from 1 species